rnacentral:lncRNA from 1 species
GCUGGUGCUGGGAGCUUCAUAUCUUACUACCAUUCUCCUCCCAGUUUUAGCUCCAGUUACGCAUAUUUUUCAUUUUCAACACGAAUAUAAGCCUUUGUACAGACUUUCCUCUGCCUGGAACACCAUUUUGGCUCAUCAGCCCGGUGCUUUGGUAUUUAUUCUUCAAAAUACUGCUCAGCGUCACCCUCUAACUCUUCCCCGACCUUCUGGAUUUCUUGUGCGUGGCGCCCCCUUGUGGUCGCUUAGUUUAGGCGGUUUGGAGCCGGGUAGAAGGACCUGUACUAAGCCUUGGACAUUGGACCUUGCUGCCUGACCUCUCCCUGCUGGCCGAAAUGACCAAAGGCGGCGUGCCAGCUGAGGGUGUGCAACUACACCCUGCGGGCUCAGGGGGCGCGGGGGCUGUACCCGUGGGCAGCUGAGGGCAUGUGUGGGUGACAUCUGUUCCAGUUGAACAAAAGCACCACAAGCCAGUGAGCCCAGAGCUCUUCUCCAUUAGCUUUGCCAUCGCAUCGGACUUGCAGCUUCGCCUUGGGCCACUUCCAGCCAUGAAGCUCCUUUUGCUGACUCUGGCUGCACUGCUGCUGUUGUCCCACCUCACUCCAGGUGGCACCCGAAAAUGCUGGAAUCUUCAUGGCAAAUGCCGCCACAAAUGCUCCAGGAAGGAAAGGAUCUAUGUUUACUGCACAAAUAGUAAAAUGUGCUGUGUGAAGCCCAAGUACCAGCCAAAAGAUGACCCACGGUUCUUCGGGUUCCUUGGACCCUAAAGCCAUGAAAAUGCAGAUGAAGCUACCCUGGGUCUCACCUAGGUGGAUGCCUGAGCUCUAUCAAUAAACACCUUUGGCUGAUCCCUGUGUUUGCCUGUUAGUCUCCCCCAGCAAUUCUCAGGAGGUCCAUGAAGUCAAAAUUAUUUUCAUAAUAACAAUAAGACAUUAUUUCUCUUUUUCAAUCUCACUUUCUCACAAGUAUGCGGUAGAAUUUUCUGGAAUCUACAUGAUAUAUGGUGAUAUUGUUUUGACAGCCAAUGAAAGGUAUACUUACGUAUCUUUAUGUUUCUAGAAUUUUUUAAGAUGGAGGCUUAAGGUAUAAGUGUGUUCAUUUUCAGAGAUUAACUCAGGUUGUUCUCAGUAACUCUACUGUGCUCUUACUAACUGUCUUUAGUUGUAGUAUUAAUCUCUGUAACCUCAUUAUCAUCUAAUAAAUCAUUACUUUGAAAUUCCAGAUUUUCCUCAUACCUAUAUGGAAACACAACAAGAACUAAGGGCACGUUGUUGUCUUGGUCUGCAGAGGUAUGUUAACAACCAGUACCAACUGGCUAACAGAGGAAAGAAUAUGCUCUCCCUGAAUGAAAAUAAUACCUGUUCUAGUCUCUACAGUUCUUUUAAAUACUAUUUCUGGCACAUAAUUAAAAAAAAAUUAGGGGCUGGCCCCGUGGCCGCGUGGUUAAGUUUGAGCACUCCACUUCAGUGGCCCAGGGUUUCACCGGUUCGGAUCCUGGAUGCAGACAUGGCACCGCUCAUCAGGCCAUGUUGAGGCAGCAUCCCACAUGCCACAACUAGAAGGACCCACAACUAAAACUACACAACUAUGUACUGGGGGGCUCUGGGGAGAAAAAGGACAAAUAAAAUCUUUAAAAAAAAAUUUUUUUAAUUAAAAGACAUGCACAGAAAAAGGAAAAUUUGACUCAUAAUCAAGUAUAAAAACAGUCAAUAGAAGCAGACCUAAAGAUGGCACAGUUGUUGGAAUUAAUAGACAACUUUAAAAUAACUAUUAUAAAUGUUAAAGAAAUUAGAAGAAAAGAUUGAAAGGAUGAAUAAUUUAAACUAAUACACAGAAAAAUAGUGUAUCAGUUUUCUAUUGCUGCACUAUAAACCACUCCAAAACUUAGUGGAUUAAAAUAAGAACUAGAGUUCUGUGUGCUAACUGAGUGGUUCUUCUGAUAUUCUCACCUGGGGUCACUCAUAUGACUACAGCUCUUUCCGCAUAGCCUCUCCAUUUCGAGGAAGUUAACCUUGGCUUCUUAAAUGAUGGUAGGUCUAAGAGGCUAAGCCCCAAUAUGCAGCAUUUAUCAAACUUGUUAUUGUGUUUUCUCAAGCCCCAUUGGCCAAAGCAAGUCACAUGACCCAGGGUCAAUAUGGAAAAGGACUACACAAGGGCAUGAAUACUGAAGGCGUGAUUCACUGGGGAUCAUCAAUGUAUCAGUCUACCACAAGUGGAACCUCUAAGAAUAAAUUGGCCAUUCAAAAUUGAAAAAUACAAAAUCUAAAAUUAAAAACUUAUUGGAUGGGCUUAACAAUAGACUGAGCAUAGUAGAAGAAAGGAUUAGCAAAUUCAAAGAUAGAUCAGUAGGAAAUACAAUCAAAGCACAGAGAGAACGAAAAAGAAUGCAGAACAAACAUAACAGAGCAUGAGAGACAUAUGGGACAAUAUCAAAUGGUCUAAAACAUAUGUAAUUGGAAUCUCAGAAGGAGAAGAGAGAGGGAAUGGAAAAAACAAAAUAUCUUUAAAAGAUAAUGGCU